GGAUUAGAUACCCUGGUAGUCCACGCCGUAAACAAUGGACACUUGGUGUUGGAGGUAUUGACCCCUUCAGUGCCGGAGCUAACGCGUUAAGUGUCCCGCCUGGGGAGUACGGUCGCAAGAUUAAAACUCAAAGAAAUUGACGGGGGCCCGCACAAGCGGUGGAGCAUGUGGUUUAAUUCGAUGCAACGCGAAGAACCUUACCUGGUCUUGACAUCAAGGGGAAGUAACGCAGAGAUGCUUACGUCUUCGGACUCCUUGACAGGUGCUGCAUGGCUGUCGUCAGCUCGUGCCG
rnacentral:rRNA from 1 species